AUUGAACGCUGGCGGAAUGCUUUACACAUGCAAGUCGAACGGCAGCACGGGAGCUUGCUCCUGGUGGCGAGUGGCGAACGGGUGAGUAACAUAUCGGAACGUGCCCAGGAGUGGGGGAUAACACAUCGAAAGAUGUGCUAAUACCGCAUAUGACCUGAGGGUGAAAGGGGGGGAUCGCAAGACCUCUCGCUGCUGGAGCGGCCGAUAUCGGAUUAGCUAGUUGGUGGGGUAAAGGCCUACCAAGGCGACGAUCCGUAGCUGGUCUGAGAGGACGACCAGCCACACUGGGACUGAGACACGGCCCAGACUCCUACGGGAGGCAGCAGUGGGGAAUUUUGGACAAUGGGGGCAACCCUGAUCCAGCCAUUCCGCGUGAGUGAAGAAGGCCUUCGGGUUGUAAAGCUCUUUCGGCAGGAACGAAACGGUGUUCCCUAAUACGGGAUGCUAAUGACGGUACCUGAAGAAGAAGCACCGGCUAACUACGUGCCAGCCGCCGCCGUAAAAC
rnacentral:rRNA from 1 species